rnacentral:lncRNA from 1 species
AAAAGAUACAUUAUGUCAUUCUUCUGAUUAUGAAUUUAAUUAAAAUCCUGAUUCCUGGAUGGUAUCGUGGGCCUAUUGAAUGAGAAUCUCUGGAACUAGAACUUGAAAUCUGCAUUUUAACAAAUGAGUCUGGUGAUUUUUAGCAUUCUAACAUUGGAGAACUACUGGUGAUGGAGAGUUCAGAUGACCAAUGGUGAAUUUUAUCUCACAUUACUAGCUUCUUCAGUUUUCUUCCCCUCAGUGCUCAGACCACACAGCAUGCCCUGUGGUACAGGAGAAAUAUGGAGAAUGCAGCACACUUGCUUCCUACCGAAGUAGGUAUUUUCUUUCCAGAUUUCCUUCAGUUGUGAAGUCUGACGAUUUCAAUUUUUUUGGAUGAAAUAGAAAAUGCUCACCUAAAAAUGUAAGUCAGAUUUGUUAAAAUCACUUCCAAAGGAUACUGAUAUGUCAGGUAGCGUUUGCAUACACAAUAAUUUCUUUAAAAUACAUUUUCCAAGUGGAUUUAUUA